AUAUUACUAAUAUUCCAGUAAGUUCUAGACUCAAUUUUAAAAUCAUUUUUUAAUUUUGGAUUGAUUUUGCCAGGAUCCUUACUUUUCCAUGAUUCAUGAUUUCUGCUGUUAUUGAUAGGAGCUCAAUUAAAGAAGGUGGCUAAUUAUGUUCAAGUUAAAAACAGAGUAUUAGAUAAAUUUUCCUUACCCAUUUAUUUGAUCAAAUUUGGAUAUGAUUUGCUCGAGCCAAGGCCCAUAAUAUUUACUGUAAUCUGUUUGAUGAUAGUAUUAAGAUUAAUCAUCAUAAACAAAACAGACGCACAUACUAAAGAAAGCUGUCUAAGUUCCUCAAGCUAAAGGGUGCUUGUAACUCUUCUAUAAAAACAAAUUAGCUUUCUGCAUAUGGUAAAUGUUUAAUGUUUUAUAUGUUUAAAUUAAAGUUCAUUAACAGGGUAAAAAAAUCUUGUCUCAUCAAGAAUCUAAAAGUAGUUGAUAAUCAAACUAAUCAUUUAUGUGCGGGUUUUAAUGAGAUACCAUAUGAUAUAACAGGAAAUCAAACAAGGG
rnacentral:misc_RNA from 1 species